rnacentral:rRNA from 1 species
AGUGAACGCUGGCGGCAGGCCUAACACAUGCAAGUCGAACGGUAACAGGUCUUCGGAUGCUGGCGAGUGGCGAACGGGUGAGUAAUACAUCGGAACGUGCCCAGACGUGGGGGAUAACGAGGCGACGGCUUUGCUAAUACCGCAUACGAUCUAGGGAUGAAAGCAGGGGACCGCAAGGCCUUGCGCGGUUGGAGCGGCCGAUGGCAGAUUAGGUAGUUGGUGGGAUAAAAGCUUACCAAGCCGACGAUCUGUAGCUGGUCUGAGAGGACGACCAGCCACACUGGGACUGAGACACGGCCCAGACUCCUACGGGAGGCAGCAGUGGGGAAUUUUGGACAAUGGGCGAAAGCCUGAUCCAGCAAUGCCGCGUGCAGGAUGAAGGCCUUCGGGUUGUAAACUGCUUUUGUACGGAACGAAAAGGCUCUGGCUAAUACCUGGGGCACAUGACGGUACCGUAAGAAUAAGCACCGGCUAACUACGUGCCAGCCGCCGCGGUAA